CCUACGGGGGGCAGCAGUGAGGAAUAUUGGUCAAUGGACGAGAGUCUGAACCAGCCAAGUAGCGUGAAGGAUGACUGCCCUAUGGGUUGUAAACUUCUUUUAUAUGGGAAUAAAAUGUUCCACGUGUGGGAUUUUGUAUGUACCAUAUGAAUAAGGAUCGGCUAACUCCGUGCCAGCAGCCGCGGUACUACGGAGGAUCCGAGCGUUAUCCGGAUUUAUUGGGUUUAAAGGGAGCGUAGGUGGAUUGUUAAGUCAGUUGUGAAAGUUUGCGGCUCAACCGUAAAAUUGCAGUUGAAACUGGCAGUCUUGAGUACAGUAGAGGUGGGCGGAAUGCGUGGUGUAGCGGUGAAAUGCUUAGAUAUCACGAAGAACUCCGAUUGCGAAGGCAGUUCACUGGACUGCAACUGACACUGAGGCUCGAAAGUGUGGGUAUCAAACAGGAUUAGAUACCCUUGUAGUC
rnacentral:rRNA from 1 species